CCUCCGUUCUUGGCAUAUUUGUUGUGUUCCAUACACGUGUGUGUAUGUAAUGGAGGAAUGUGAAAGUCCAGUGCUAUGUUUUUGGUCCCAGAAAGUCAAUGGUUUUCUGGUUCUAUCCUCAGUCGCUGGCACAGCC